UACAGAGGGGGCAAGCGUUGUUCGGAAUUACUGGGCGUAAAGGGCGCGUAGGCGGCCUGUUAAGUCGAACGUGAAAUCCCCGGGCUCAACCCGGGAACUGCGUCCGAAACUGGCAGGCUCGAAUUCGGGAGAGGGAUGCGGAAUUCCAGGUGUAGCGGUGAAAUGCGUAGAUAUCUGGAGGAACAUCGGUGGCGAAGGCAGCUCGCUGGGACGGUACUGACGCUAAGGCGCGAAAGCGUGGGGAGCGAACAGG
rnacentral:rRNA from 1 species